GGCCGUCAUGUUGUAACAAUAUUUUUAGAAUGUCGGAUAACAAAUUCUGAACUUGAUUGUGCUGAACUAUUAGUAUCUACUGCUCUUCCGAAUAAUACAGUUAGAUUAGCUAUCACCAAGUUAAAUGCAUCUUCAUAUAUAGAGGCAACCUUCGCUAGCUUCAUCAAUCGAUGACUCAUCAAAGCAUAUCCAUACCAAAUAAGAUAUCGAUAUGCUAUAAUAGGUUGUCAUAGUUAUAG
rnacentral:lncRNA from 1 species